CGUUGAAAUUGGAUCAUUCAAACAAAAAUCUCUCUGACAUGAUUUAAAAAAGUCAAAUAAAUUGUGGGUAGAAAGUGCAAUGUGACCGAGUAAAGGAGAUUGAGAUUCGAGAAAGACUCACAUCGGCUAAGCAAGCAACAGAGGAACCUCAGAUUGUACGAUAAAUACAAGACAAAUCCCAACCUUUUAGACAUACUUACCUGGACGGGGUCAAUGGGUGAUCAGCUAGUUCCAUGGCCUAGGUUGGUGACCCCCACUGCACAUACCGGAGGGUUGCCCGCCUAAGGUCUGCCCAAAGUGGUAGCUCCUACGUCAUAAUUUGUGGUAGUGGGGCCUGCGUUCGCGCGGCCCCAACCCAAUUCCUCAGUUCAUCAAUGUCGUUAAUGUCUUCCUCUCUUUCCAGGUUCAGACUUGGAAUCUAUAUUCUCCAUCAUGUCUAUAUCGAGAUGGAAGUGAAAAACAUGUUAGAAUGUAGAAGAAGUUAUAUUAGUAAUUGUGCAUGCUUUAUAUUCUGUCUGAUCUUUCAUGAUACAUAGGACUUUCAUGAUACAUAUGUUCCUGAAAGAAUUCAACCGAUAAUUGAAGAGAUGUUCAUGCUAGAUUCGUAUAUUGGUUGGAUGCAUUUUAGGGAUAAGAUCAGCAAGAUCAAUUCCUUGAAUCUAGAAGAUCAAAUAGGGGAGGAUAUGGCGCUUCCAGCCUUCCGUUAAAGAUGGUUUUUCGCAAGCCUUCCAUUUUGUCUGAUGUAUUUUCUUUUUCGUUGAACUAAAGUUUAUUGGAUGUUUUGCGAGUGGUGCUUGUGAAAGAAAUUAUGUACUACUUUGUUGAAAUCUUUUAAAAGCAAAAAUCAAAAGCAUUUCCAAACUCAUA